GACCCUGUUUUCGAAUUGUCACCGUAUGGUGCGCGUUCUAAGCAAACGCUUAGAUAGAAACCAGGGUCGCUU
rnacentral:ncRNA from 1 species